rnacentral:rRNA from 1 species
GAUGAACGCUGGCGGCGUGCCUAAUACAUGCAAGUCGAGCGAACAGACGAGGAGCUUGCUCCUCUGACGUUAGCGGCGGACGGGUGAGUAACACGUGGAUAACCUACCUAUAAGACUGGGAUAACUUCGGGAAACCGGAGCUAAUACCGGAUAAUAUAUUGAACCGCAUGGUUCAAUAGUGAAAUACGGUUUUGCUGUCACUUAUAGAUGGAUCCGCGCCGCAUUAGCUAGUUGGUAAGGUAACGGCUUACCAAGGCAACGAUGCGUAGCCGACCUGAGAGGGUGAUCGGCCAAACGGGAGCUGAGAAACGGUCCAGAAACCAACGGGAGGCAGCAGUAGGGAAUCGUCCGCAAUGGGCGAAAGCCUGACGGAGCAAAGCAGCGGGAGUGAUGAAGGUCUUCGGAUCGUAAAACGCUGUUAUUAGGGAAGAACAAAUGUGUAAGUAACUAUGCACGUCUUGACGGUACCGAAUCAGAAAGCCACGGCUAACUACGU